rnacentral:rRNA from 1 species
CCGUGGGCGUUGGAGAAUUGAGAGAAUCUGUUCCUAGUACGAGAGGACCGGAAUGGACGAACCUCUAGUGUUUCUGUUGUUCUGCCAAGAGCAUUGCAGGGUAGCUACGUUCGGAACGGAUAACCGCUGAAGGCAUCUAAUCGGGAAGCCGGUCUCGAGCUUAUUUCUCCCGGAGUUUUAAACUCCCUAAAGGGCCCUGGAAGAGUACCAGGUUGAUAGGCUGGGUGUGGAAGAGUGGCAACACUUGGAGCUGACCAGUACUAAUUGCCCGUGUGGCUUGACCAUGUAACAUUA